GAAAGCUUCUUAAAAAAGGGAAAAAACUUACUGAUUCAAAAUCGUCUUCAAAGUCGGAGUCAAGUGAAUCAAAUUCAGCGGUGUCUAUCUGAGGCUCAGGUUCAACGAAGUCAUUGACAACGUAUUGAAGAUUGUCGUUUUGAAAGCGUUCCAUUAUGCUACAGUUAAGAAACAGAUUAAACAAGAUUUUGAUU